AAUAGAUACCCUGGUAGUCCACGCCGUAAACGAUGAGUGCUAAGUGUUAGAGGGUUUCCGCCCUUUAGUGCUGCAGCUAACGCAUUAAGCACUCCGCCUGGGGAGUACGGCCGCAAGGCUGAAACUCAAAAGAAUUGACGGGGGCCCGCACAAGCGGUGGAGCAUGUGGUUUAAUUCGAAGCAACGCGAAGAACCUUACCAGGUCUUGACAUCCUCUGCCAACCCUAGAGAUAGGGCGUUCCCCUUCGGGGGACAGAGUGACAGGUGGUGCAUGGUUGUCGUCAGCUCGUGUCGUGAGAUGUUGGGUUAAGUCCCGCAACGAGCGCAACCCUUGAUCUUAGUUGCCAGCAUUCAGUUGGGCACUCUAAGGUGACUGCCGGUGACAAACCGGAGGAAGGUGGGGAUGACGUCAAAUCAUCAUGCCCCUUAUGACCUGGGCUACACACGUGCUACAAUGGAUGGUACAAAGAGCAGCGAACCCGCGAGGGUAAGCCAAUCUCAUAAAAGCCAUUCUCAGUUCGGAUUGUAGG
rnacentral:rRNA from 1 species